rnacentral:rRNA from 1 species
CCUAUGGGAGGCUGCAGUGGGGAAUAUUGGACAAUGGGGGGAACCCUGAUCCAGCCAUGCCGCGUGUGUGAAGAAGGCCCUCGGGUUGUAAAGCACUUUCAGUGAGGAAGAACGCCUGGUGGUUAAUACCCAUCAGGAAAGACAUCACUCACAGAAGAAGCACCGGCUAACUCCGUGCCAGCAGCCGCGGUAAUACGGAGGGUGCGAGCGUUAAUCGGAAUUACUGGGCGUAAAGCGCGCGUAGGUGGCUUGAUAAGCCGGUUGUGAAAGCCCCGGGCUCAACCUGGGAACGGCAUCCGGAACUGUCAAGCUAGGGUGCAGGAGGGGAAGGGAGAAUUCCCGGUGUAGCGGUGAAAUGCGUAGAGAUCGGGAGGAAUACCAGUGGCGAAGGCGGCCUUCUGGACUGACACUGACACUGAGGUGCGAAAGCGUGGGUAGCAAACAGGAUUAGAUACCCAGUAGUC